UACGAAGGGUGCAAGCGUUAUCCGGAUUCAUUGGGUUUAAAGGGUGCGUAGGCGGACCUGUAAGUCAGUGGUGAAAUCUCUCAGCUUAACUGAGAAACUGCCAUUGAUACUGCAAGUCUAGAGUAUAGAUGACGUUGGCGGAAUAUGACAUGUAGUGGUGAAAUACUUAGAUAUGUCAUAGAACACCGAUUGCGAAGGCAGCUAACGAAACUAUAACUGACGCUGAGGCACGAAAGUGCGGGGAGCAAACAGG
rnacentral:rRNA from 1 species